ACACACAGGUGCUGCACGGCUGUCGUCAGCUCGUGUCGUGAGAUGUUGGGUUAAGUCCCGGCAACGAGCGCAACCCUUGCCCUUAGUUACCAUCAUUUAGUUGGGACUCUAAGGGGACUGCCGGUGAUAAACCGGAGGAAGGUGGGGACGACGUCAAGUCAUCAUGGCCCUUAUGACCGGGGCUACACACGUACUACAAUGGUCGGUACAGACGGUCGCAAGCUCGCGAGAGUAAGCUAAUCCGAGAAAACCGAUCGUAGUCCGGAUCGCAGUCUGCAACUCGACUGCGUGAAGUCGGAAUCGCUAGUAAUCGCAAAUCAGAAUGUUGCGGUGAAUACGUUCCCGGGCCUU
rnacentral:rRNA from 1 species